rnacentral:rRNA from 1 species
UACGAAGGGGGCUAGCGUUGCUCGGAAUCACUGGGCGUAGAGCGCACGUAGGCGGCUUUCUAAGUCAGGGGUGAAAUCCUGGAGCUCAACUCCAGAACUGCCUUUGAUACUGGAGAGCUUGAGUCCGGGAGAGGUGAGUGGAACUCCGAGUGUAGAGGUGAAAUUCGUAGAUAUUCGGAAGAACACCAGUGGCGAAGGCGGCUCACUGGCCCGGUACUGACGCUGAGGUGCGAAAGCGUGGGGAGCAAACAGG